rnacentral:rRNA from 1 species
GCUCGAGUGGCAACGGGUGAGUAACACGUGAGUAACCUGCCCUUGACUUUGGGAUAACUUCAGGAAACUGGGGCUAAUACCGGAUAGGAGCUCCUGCUGCAUGGUGGGGGUUGGAAAGUUUCGGCGGUUGGGGAUGGACUCGCGGCUUAUCAGCUUGUUGGUGGGGUAGUGGCUUACCAAGGCUUUGACGGGUAGCCGGCCUGAGAGGGUGACCGGCCACAUUGGGACUGAGACACGGCCCAG